CCUACGGGUGGCUGCAGUGGGGAAUAUUGGACAAUGGGGGCAACCCUGAUCCAGCCAUGCCGCGUGUGUGAAGAAGGCCCUCGGGUUGUAAAGCUCUUUCAGUGAGGAAGAACGCCUGGUGGUUAAUACCCGUCAGGAAAGACAUCACUCACAGAAGAAGCACCGGCUAACUCCGUGCCAGCAGCCGCGGUAAUACGGAGGGUGCGAGCGUUAAUCGGAAUUACUGGGCGUAAAGCGCGCGUAGGUGGCUUGAUAAGCCGGUUGUGAAAGCCCCGGGCUCAACCUGGGAACGGCAUCCGGAACUGUCAAGCUAGAGUGCAGGAGAGGAAGGUAGAAUUCCCGGUGUAGCGGUGAAAUGCGUAGAGAUCGGGAGGAAUACCAGUGGCGAAGGCGGCCUUCUGGACUGACACUGACACUGAGGUGCGAAAGCGUGGGUAGCAAACAGGAUUAGAUACCCCAGUAGUC
rnacentral:rRNA from 1 species